UGAAGAUGAACUUCAGUGCAGCCUGGCUCUCCUGAAAGCUUUGAACUCUCCCAUGACUCUGCAUGGGUCAGAAUAGCCAGUCUGUCAGGUUGAAUAUAGGAGAAUAUUCACUGAAAAUCUGAAGUGUAUUUGAUCAGGGGAAGAAGGAUGAUAAGAGGCUCUGGGCAGAAGGGAUCGCACAUACAAACAGAACAAGCAAUGUUACUCCUUACCCUUGAUCAGUCGAGUCCCUCCAAUCAAACUGAUGAAUUUACAAAAUAUAAUGGGCAAGUCAAGAGGCAAUCAGGUAUUAGAACCUCCACUUUCAGACUCUAAGGAAUAUAAUUUGUGCCUGAAAGAGUGAAUAACUUUCAGAUUUUUGAGUGGCCCAUUUGUACCUUGUAAUGGCUGUCAGACCUAGAAGUGUUCGGUUAUAAUGUGAGUCAAGAAACUAGGCUAAGUACUGACAAAGAAAAUGGGUUUUCCCUCUAUCCACGAGCUGACUUCAGUGAGUGGAAGACACUCACUUUAAAAGCUGAGAAGCCAAUGCCAAUAUCCAUCAGCUAGGAGAUAUUCAGCUAAGAUUGCUUAUAACUUAGUGAAGUAAGGGAAGGCUAGGUAUUUGCCUAUUCAAUCAACAUAAGUAUAAAAGGAUUAUAUUUUUUAUAUUUCAUUGUUCAUAUUAUUUGUCCCCUUUCAUUGAAUAAUUUUAUCAAGUAGUUUAGGAGUAUUCAACUGAUCGAGGAUCUUCUGGUCAACCCUCUCCACAAACAUCUUGCCUUGGCAAGGAGAUGACCUUGUAUUCUCAAAGGCUAUACCAGUUGUGGUAAGCUCUAGCAUGUCCUAUCAAGUUUGCUAAGACUCUUAGUGAGAGAAGCUGCUAAGUAUCUCAGUGCAUUGAGAGCCAGGCCCAGAGAAGGGAGAUCCUGGGUUCAAAUCCAGUCUCAGAUACUUCCUAGCUGUGAGACCCUGGGCAAAUUAUUUAACCCCCAUUGCCUGUCCCUUACAAUUCUUCUGCCUUAGAACCAAUAUAUAGCAUUGAUUCUAAGACCAAAGGCAAGGGUGGUUCAGCUUUUUUUUAAGAUUCUUAAUGUGGGCACUGAGUUAGAUUACAUGACUUUUAGCUAACUAAGUUUAAGAGGCUAUCAUCAGGUUGGAUCAAGAUGACAAAAUCAAGACCAAGGCUACUCCUGAAGCACAUCUCCUAACUUGUAGAAGGAUCAUAUUCUAUGACAGUGGAACAAAUGCCAAAUUCAAAAUAAAGGCAAGAGACUUCUGGUCA
rnacentral:lncRNA from 1 species